rnacentral:rRNA from 1 species
CAGCAGCCGCGGGAAUACGGAGGGGGCUAGCGUUGUUCGGAAUUAUUGGGCGUAAAGGGCGCGUAGGCGGUUUGACAAGUUUGGUGUGAAAUCUAUGGGCUCAACCCAUAGCCUGCAUCGAAAACUGUCGGGCUUGAGUAUGGGAGAGGUGAGUGGAAUUCCGAGUGUAGAGGUGAAAUUCGUAGAUAUUCGGAAGAACACCAGUGGCGAAGGCGGCUCACUGGACGACUGUUGACGCUGAGGUGCGAAAGCGUGGGGAGCAAACAGGAUUAGAGACCCCCGUAGUCCCUGUCUCUUAUAC